ACUUAAACGUGGAUUUACUUGCUUUGUUUCUAAAAAAGUAAGUGCUUCCAUGUUUUAGUGA
rnacentral:pre_miRNA from 2 species